ACUCCUGACCUCAAGUGAUCCGCCCGCCUGGGCCUCUCAAAGUGCUGGGAUAACAGGCCUGAGCCACGGCAUCCGUCCUCAGAAUCUUGUACAGCAAACGGGAUACUUAGAAUUUCCUUCCGCUGGGGAAUGAGUAGCUGUAAGUUAGUUAUCUUCACCUGUCCACUUGACUGUCUGACCUGGUGCAGUAACAGUUCAGAGUCAAAGGAUACUUCUGCUUUGCGUUUUGGCACGCUCAGCAAGAAUAUGCAAGGAAUCAGAUUCAUGGUAGACUGUUUUCUAAAAAAUAAUAGACAUUUUUAACACAAAUUUUGAAGUAAAUUUCUUCAAGUUAAACAUGUAUUCCAGAGUCGGAGGAAAGACCCACUUUGGAGACAUUCUUUCAGAAUUCUCUUCAAAGGCCCUUUUAUUUGCUUUUUCCGGGAGCAGUGAUGCAUUUCUUAAAGAAGCCUUGAUACUUAGUCGUCUUUGAACUUCAGGAGCGUUUUCAAAGGCAAGAGAAGCUGGUUUUCAGGAAUUUGAUUCAUAAUGCAAAAUGUGUAAUAUAUCUGAAUACAGGAGUGUGAAAACAUAGUACUUAAAUAUUUGUGUGAACAUUUUACUGUAUCUAUGUGGGUUUUCAAAGGCCAUAUUUGAAAGGUGAUUAUAAAAUAGCACAUAAGUAUUAUACAUGAGGCACCAUGAGGCAGAAACCAAAUAAAGUAGGUUUUCUAUAUACUCAAGCACCUUGCAGUCUAAAAAGGAACAUAAAGUAAAACAAAAUUAUGCAGAUUAGCAGGGGAGAUAGAGAUACACCCAAUUAAUUGCAGGGAUAAACUAAACUCAUAACUAAUCAAAGUGGCAGAAGGAUUAAAUGGUAUUCUUUGAUUUCAGAAGCCUAGUCUACAUUAUGAUAUUUUUGGAAAUAAGUCUUUUUUGCACCAUUAAAUAGCAUUUUUGAUAGUGUAAUUAUCAUGCCUGCAUGAGUAUUAGAGCUUUCAAAUACACUAUUUUUAUUUUUGCUCUUCUUGCAGUGUUAUAUGAGAAUGACAUAAUACUUAGUUUUAUAACAGAAAUGUAAGUGGUAAGGAAUUUUUCCCCCAUUCUGCUUCAACAGAAACAUGUUUUAUAUGGACAUUUUAAAGUUUUAGAAUCUAAAUGCAAUCCUCAUUCUUAUAACAUUGGUUAAAAAAUAAAAUAAAAGAUCAUCAUUAAGAGCAAUUUGUGCAAGAAACUAAGGUUUGAAUUUCAAUGGCCCAUCCUCAUAUAAAUUCUAUUUUGGAUUCCUAGGUCUCAUCGAUUUGUUGUGAUAUUACAUAUAAAUGAAAAUACCAAAUGUCUUUUGCUUUGUCAGUGAAAAAGUAGUUUGGGCUUAAUAAAUGGUCCAGUGAUGUCUAUUUGGAAGCUUCAUGACAUAUUAAAGCAGUUGAUGAGGAACAUUUGUUGUGGGGUCACGUCUGAUUGAUGGUUUACUACCUAGCACAGCCUCAUCUGCUGUGGUAUUCCCAUAAGAAAUGUUCAUUGCUAGACAGUGCUAAAUGUGCUCUAUCUAAAUCAUUCAUUACUUAUAACAAGUUUUAGUAUAUAUAUGAAUCAAAUGUUGUUUAUAGUUGCCUUCAACAGGAUUUAUCAUUUUGAAGCUUUUCUACCACUUCGAAUGGAAUAACUAAGAUAUAGAUUUUUUAAUAAGUGUUUUGAGCCCAUGGCGGUAAUGUACCAAGAAUUCAAUAACAAAGUAAAUAUUAAGCAAGUUUUCUAAGAUUAAAGUUAGAAUGUAGUUUUGUAACUUUUUUUCUGUUUCUAAAUACAAACAAUUGUAUAUUUUUAUAGUAUGGGGUGUUGGCAAAAUCAUUAAAAUAAAGGGCAAUUUUAAGAUAUUUAGCAUUCAUAAAUAUCACAUGAGGCACACCUUGCUUCCAGCAAUUAGGAAUAACUUAUUUUUUAUAUAUAACAAUUCCAGUUUAUCGUCUGAAACUGCCUUUUAAUUACAAGCUUCUUUUUUUAUAUGUAACCUGUUCUCAUUCCCAUUAAAUCUAAUCUUCAUUCGUUUCAUUUUCUUUCUCAGUGUCUUUCACUCUAUUUGGCUCUUAUUUCCUUUAUGCCUCUAGAUUCCUCUGUUUGGUUUUAACGACAUAAUUUGACAUUCUCAACCCAUGGCCAAUGCUCAGUAAUAUCCGGGCAUCUUUGCAGUCUACAUCACAGCUCCUUCUGAAAUCCCAAAUUUAGGGAAACAUUAAUAUUUGUUAUUGUUCUAUUUUAAGUAAUAUUUGAAUUUUUUUUUUUUUUUCGAGACGUAAUCUCACUCUGUCGCCCAGGCCUGGAGUUCACGAUCUCAACUCACUGCAACUUCUGCCACCCAGGUUCAAGCAAUUCUCCUGUCUCAGCCUCCCAAGUAGCUGGGACUACAGGCGCCCACCACUACGCCUGGCUAGUUUUUGUAUUUUUAGUAGAGACGGAGUUUCACUAUAUCGGUCAGGCUGUUCUCGAACUCCUGACCUCAGGUGAUCCGCCCAGCUCGACCUCCCAAAAUGCUGGGAUUACAGGAGUGAGCCACUGCGCCCGCCCUAAUAUAUGGAUUAUUUAAACUAAUAGAAGAUUUGUUGUCAUGUGUGUAUUACCUGAACCAGGAAAACAUUUGAGAUUAUAUUAAUGACUACAAAAAUAAAAAAUAGGAAUCAUAGAUUGUAUAUUUUGAAUACAUUUCCAUUGUGAAUGGCAAGGCUAGAAGUCACUUUUGUGUUUCCAUGAUUGGAGACAUUUUGAGACAAAUGUUUCCUUUGUCCUGUAUCAAAAGUUAUGGGAAGAGGGAUCAUGGUUUCAGUUAGAAAAAGAGCCUGUGAAUAAUAUUGUAUAACACCAAUUUGCUUUAUGUUUUCUUCAAGUUGUGUAUGUGAAGCAAGGUGUUUUAGGGCCAAAUUUAGUACCCUUUCACAUAUGUUCAUGUAUUUUCAGCAAAGUAACAUUUAAAAUGUCAAUAUAAUUUCGUCAAAAAUUUUUGUUAUUUGACUAAUGAUGCAAAAGUUUGAGGGAACAUUAUUAAAAAUUUUAAAUGUGUUUUCCAUCUUACAGUUUCAAACUCGUAGAUUCAAGUUAAUCAUAUUUUCCAUUUAGUCCCUCUGGGAUUUAUCUCUGCAUAAAACCUAAGAAAUAUAUUCUUAAUUUUCUUUCUUCAUAGACAAUAUAAUCUUGAUAGGUGAAAGCUGUUUACACAUUUCUGAAACCAUUUCACAUUAAUUUGAACUUCAAAUGGAAAUUGACAGGAAAAUCUUUACCCUCUAGCCAAAGAGAGUAAUUUAAUACUUUCCACCUCUGUGGCCACAUAAAAAUAAUUUUUUUUUCCUUCAAAAUAUAUUUAGUGCAUUCCAGAUGAUUCAUCCAUAAUUAACACAAUAAAACUUUACACUGGAUAUCAAAGUAAGUUAUGUAAUAGAAUAAAGUUAUGAGCCAUGUAGGGAAUUGUGUGUGUUUUUUGUUAUAUAACACAACAAUUUUUCACCUUCAGUGCACAUUCAAAUUACUUAGAGGACUUGUUAAAACAAAUUGAUGAACCCCCCUUCCUAGCGGUUUUGAUUCAGUAGGUCUGGGGUGACACCCAAGAAUUUGCUUCUGUAACAAGUUUGCAGGUAAUGCUGUUGCUGCAGGCCCUGGAGCCACACCUUGAGAACGCCUAGUAUAUGUAAACUGGUCUUCAGUGUCAGAAGAGUGUCAUUUAAAAUCAUGGCGUUACCACAUAACAGCCCUGUGACCUUGGAUAGCUUACAUAACCUCUCUAAAAGCUGUGUCUUGAAGUUCGUAAAUUGGAAAAAUCAUGCUACCUGCCCGAGAAGGUUGUUGUGAUCAUUGAGAUAAUGUAUCUAAAAUGCCUAAGACAGUGUCCAGUACAUAUUAGCUGUGCAGUGAUUCUUGACUCUCUUUCCCUUCUGCAAGUGUACGCAGCGUAAAGUCAUGAUUCUCACUGAAUAGAUGAGCUGAGCAAUAUGUCUUGCAUUUCCAUUUGUCUAGCUCUCAGUAAAUUAAGAAAAAAUACAUAGUUAUGUAUGACAUAUUCCAGAUAAUCCUUGAUAAUCUAAUACUCAUCAGAUAAUUGCUCUACUUGAUGGAAAUUUCUUAAUAAAAAGAUGUGGUUGCUGAUCUUAAGGAGCCUCAAUGAUUGCUAUAAAGAGUUGUUUAUAAAAAGCAUUCAACCAGAAUGGCACUUUUGUUCUUCAGGUUUUAGUCAAAAGUUUCUCCCUCAAAAAGGAAUUCUUCUCCACUAACCACGCAAGCAAAAGAAGCCUAGCUUCAUAGUAUUCCAUGGUGUAUAUGUGCCACAUUUUCUUAAUCCAGUCUGUCAUUGUUGGACAUUUGGGUUGGUUCCAAGUCUUUGCUAUUGUGAGUAGUGCCGCAAUAAACAUACUAAAAAUGAUGGUUCAUGUCCUUUGUAGGGACAUGGAUGAAGCUGGAAACCAUCAUUCUCAGCAAACUAUCGCAAGGACAAAAAACCAAGCACCGCAUGUUCUUACUCAUAGGUGGGAAUUGAACAAUGGGAACCCUUGGACACGGGAUGGGGAACAUCACACACUGGGGCCUCUUGUGGGGUGAGGGGAGCAGGAAGGGAUAGCAUUAGGAGAUAUACCUAAUGUAAAUGAUGAGUUAAUUGGUGCAGCACACCAGCAUGGCACAUGUAUACGUAUGUAACAAACCUGCACGUUGUGCACAUGUACCCUAGAACUUAAAGUAUAAUAAAAAAAUAUAUAUAUAUACAUAUAAAAGAAGCCUAGCUUCACCACCCAUAUCAUCAUUAUUAUCAUUGCCUGAAAACUAUUUUACAUCAGUUAUCUUGUUUAAUCAUUUUUUAUUGUUUUUUUCACUAGUAUUUAUGUGUUAGAGAGAAAGGAGCUGGUCUUGCGUAUUUAUCACAGCAUCCCCCACCUCCAGAAAUGCUUGGGAUGUAGAAGUUGGUGAAUGUAUAUUUGUUGAACAAAUUAAUGAAUAUGAGUGUACUUAGAGAAAUCUGCUUGGAUUUUACAGGGGAGGAAGCAUUUAAACUGAGCACCCAGUGAGAGAAAGACAUCUCAAGUUGAAGAAAACACUAAAUGUUAGGGCAUUGAGAGGACAGUAGAAUGCCAUUUUUCUAGUGAUCUACAAGCAGCUUGGCUUUUCUUUUUUUAAGAGAUUGAAAGGGAAGCGGGAGCAAGAGUCACAUAGGCAUAACAGGAAGAAUGUAUCAAUCCGUGCCCAAUGGAGAUCAACACAAGAAUUUUACCCAGUAAAGGAGAACUAUCAGUGGACAUCUAAGUGUCGGUGUUUCUCCUAACUAUAGGAUCAUUGAACUAAACAGAAUGUGUUAAGUAUAGCAUUUAGACAGCUCACUGAUUCUCAAGGUAGAGAAGCAGACCUGGUAAUCCUUUGGGACUAUUAGAAAAAUUAAUGAUUUAGUAAAGAAAGGAGUUACCUGAGGAAGAGGCACACUAUAAUUUUAAAAGGCUAAUAUUUCUAAUUCUGAAAAUAAUUUGAUUAUUACUCCUUGGGAUUUAUUUUGAACAUUUAAUCUUAAACAAGAACAUAAAAAAUACUGUUGAUACUUCAAAUGCUUUUUUUCAUCUAUUUUUUUUCUGUGACUUUGCUUUAAAAAAAAAUUUUUUUUGUUUUUGUAGAGACAGGGUCUUGAAAUGUUGCCCAAGCUAGUCUCAAACUCCUGGACUCAAGUACUCUCAACUCUACCUCCAAAAGUUCUGGGAUUGCAGGCAUGAGCCACCACAUCCAAACUUUUCUGUUUUGUUUUUUUUUUUUUUUUUUUUUUUGAGACAGAGUCUCUCUGGUGCCCAGGCUGGAGUGCAGUGGCGCGAUCUCUGCUCACGGCAACCUCCACUCCUGGGUCCAAGCAAUUCUCCUGCCUCAGCCUCCCAAGUAGCUGGGAUUACAGGUGUGUGCCACCACGCCUGGUUAAUUUUUGUAUUUUUGGUUAGAGACGGGGUUUUACCAUGUUGGCCAGGCUGGUCUUGAACUCCUGACCUCAAGUGAUCUGCCCACCUUGGCCUCCCAAAGUGCUGGGAUUACAGGAGUGAGCCACCACACCCAGCCUUCUGUGUAUUUUUAUAUUUGAAAUGAUAUAAAAUUAAUUUACAUGCUGGUUUUCAUUUUAAUUAUAAAAAAUAUAUUCCCAUCAUCAUCAAAGCCAUAACUUUUUUUUUUUUUGAGACGGAGUCUCGCUCUGUCGCCCAGGCUGGAGUGCAGGGGCGCGAUCUCGGCUCACUGCAAGCUCCACCUCCCGGGUUCACGCCAUUCUCCUGCCUCAGCCUCCCGAGCAGCUGGGACUACAGGCGCCGCCACCACGCCCAGCUAAUUUUUUGUAUUUUUAGUAGAGACAGGGUUUCACCGUGUUAGCCAGGAUGGUCUCGAUCUCCUGACCUUGUGAUCCGCCCGCCUCGUCCUCCCAAAGUGUUGGGAUUACAGGUGUGAGCCACCGCGCCCGGCCUAAAGCCAUAACUUUUAAUGACUGCAUUCUGCUCCAUUUUAUGGGGACAUUACAAUUUACUUAAAUAUUUUUCUCUUGAAUACUCAGAUAGCUUACCAUGUAAACAUAGGUUAUAUUCAGAUUGUUAGCUAGAAGACUACUUGUGUGUAAGCAAGACACCAAAAGUAGUGGCUUAAAUAAAUAGAUACGUAUUUCUCUCAUGAAAAAGAUUGAACUAGCAUUUGCCUGUAUUCUUGAAGCUGUCAUAGGCUCUUUCUGUGUUAUUGAUAUACAGUGACCUAAAAUCUUGUUCUCAUUGACCUGGUUCCAAAAUGGUCCAUGAUAACUUGAGAUCACUGUAUGUACGUAGCAAGAAGAAAAAAAGGAAAAGAAAAUCACUUUGCCAAUGGCUUACUGCAGAAAUUAUGCAUAACGGUUUCAUUCAUUUUCUAUAAGACUUAGUCAUGCUACUCUAGUAAGGGAAGUAGGGAAACACAGCUUCUUUUUGAGGUGAUUCUGUGCCCAGCUAAAUGUUAUCACUAUAAAGGAAUAAGAAAAUGGGUAGUGGUGGAUAAAUGGCAGUCUCUGCUAUGCCUAGUCAAGUUUCUCAUUCCAACAAUGUCCCUUUUAUGGAGAUUAUCUUGGGAAACCACUAAAUUUGAGGCAUGAUUAAAUUUCCUUUUGAAGAAUACUGCAGUGGCCUAAUUCACAAUGUUUCUGCUACUUUCUUUAAAUUAUAUGCUUUCAAAUAUUCACUAAAUACUUCAUUAAUUACUUGAUUUGUGAAAAGCUCAAAGAAUGACGUAACAUUUAAGUCAUCCUCUGGUCUGUGGCAUUGUUUAUUUUAGGCCAUUUUGAGAGUUAAUGGCUAAUUUAUUUUAAAAUAAUCAUCAUAUAAAAACAUAAAUACAUUAUCCAUCUAUAAAUAUAUCAUAUAAAUACAUUCGAAAGAUUUUUUCGUAAGAGCAUUUAACAGGAAGCUGGAUAUCUAAUAAGAUUUUGUUUUAUGAACUACUUUAAGUAUAUAUUUAAUUGUCAAUUAGGUAAAAUAUGAUUCUAAUUCCCAAAAUUAAUGUUUGCAGUUAUGAAUUUUUAAAAUAGAUUCUGAAAAAUGUUAUUGGGUAUUUAAAAAAAACCCACAAUCUCUAUUUUCUGGGGCUUUGUAGAGAAAAAAAGAUAAAAUUGUGUCCAGCAAGUUUGAUUACAGUUAUCCAUUUAAAAACUGAGCAACAGAGACACAUUUUUCCUUCUAGUGGGAUCCUGUCUGAUUUUCAAGCUGUAAAAGUUGAUCUUUCAUUAUUAAACAUUUGUCAUUUUCAUGGCCAAAAUUGUUCAUCUUCCCUAAUCAAAGCUCCCUUGGCCCACUGCAAAUUAUCAGUGAGAUGAGCAGCAGAAACUCAAGUGACAUAGAAAAUAACAGCUCUGUAUACACUAGAAAAUACUAAAAACUCUCCCCUGCUGUAAUAAUACGUAAACACUAUUGGUAUUAUCUUUAACUCAAUUGUUAGGUCCACUUAGGUAAAAUACAUGGGUUGAAGAUUAAAGUGAAAAGAGUUAAUAGAUAGGAAUUAAUAUUUCCUUUCAGUGCUGACAGAAAAUUUACCUUUGCUAACAAAACCAUUUUAUUUUCUCUUAUUUGGUUACGGCUUGCUUGGCCAUUACAGGAUUGUAUCUAUUUUGUAAAAUUUCCCCAGAACUAGGAAAAGCCUCAACACAUAUCACUUACCUAGUAAGUCAUAGCCAUCAUAAUUAUGACAUGGAAGAAGAGAAAGGAGUCAGGGAACAAAAUGAAAAAGAGAACUAGCAAUAAAGGAACUGAAGAAUAGAGGUGUGAAAGAAAAUCUGAUACUUAUUUCUUUAUGCGCAAUGAUAUUCUGAGUAGUUUCAAUUCAAUUGUUUAUUACGUAUACAGCAAGAAUGAAAUUGGGAUUUGAACUUGCCUUAUUCACCUCAAUAGUUGUCUAUUGUCAUUAUGUAUAAUUCUAUUGUUAAUAAAACCCAACGUUCAAAAGUAAUAAAAUUGAUGAGGUUUUGGGCUCCACCAUAGGAGAUUUAUUUUUGAUUUAUUAUUGAAACCCCCGUGGUAAAACUAGAAAUAGAACUUUAAUAUUAGCAGAAGACUGAACUUGUUGUUCUGUGAUUACAUACUCUGGCUUUCCCUCCCACACUGUGAUGAUGGUUACAAUUCAUUUCAUGGUACCUCAAGAGAAAUAUUUGACAUAGGGGGAAAAAGUGCCUAAUAGCUUCUAGUACAUGUAUUUGAGACUUUAAGUACAUAGCUAUAAGGAAUUUAGUUUCCUUCUCAGCCUAUUAGUAAACUUUACAUACCCAACUUUACAUACCCACUGGAUCAAAUGGAGUGUGAGUUCUUGUCUCUUUCCCCUUCUCACAUGUUUCUACCAAGCUGACCUGAAUAUCUUUCUAUACCCCUGCAAUAAGGUACGUUGAAGUUUUAACUUUAUCUCCAAGUUCCUUCUUUUACUUGCUCACUUAAGUGAUCACACUUACUUUGGUUAGUCAUAUAGCAAUUUGAUGACUAAAAAUAGAUUUUCAGGCUCAUACCUGAUAUCCCAGCAUUUAGGGAGGUCAAGGUGAGAGGUUUGCUUAAGGUCACAAAUUCAAGACCAGCCUGGGCGUCAUAAGAAUACACUGACUCUUAAAAAAAAAAAUUAGCCAGACAUAGUGGUGCAUGCCUGUAGUACUAUCUACUUGGGAGGCUGGUCAGCAGGAAGGAUCAUUUGAGCCCAGGAGUUUGAGGUUACAUUGAGCUAUGAUUGCCCCAGUAUGCCCCAGCCUGGGAGAGUGACAGAGCAAGAUCAUGCUUCUUUUUUAAAAAUUAUAUAUAUAAUGCUUAUUAAUUAUAAAUUAAUAUUAUAUAGAAAUUAUGUAUAAUUAUUUUUAUUAAUCAAAUUUAUUUUGUUAUAUAUUUGAUUAAUAAACAUAAUGAAAUUGACAAUGAAGUUGAACCACUGUGUCUUUCUAAAAUCUGGAUGAAUGAAAUCAAAUUUAAGAAAAUAUUUUAGAAAGAUUCCAAGACAAACUGAUCAAAACAGAGCUUUUGAUGUUAGAGCUUUUGAAUGUCUUAAGGAUGCCUUCAUGACUUAAAUCUGAAAAACUGUUGAAGUUUUGUAAAAUCUAACUGUGCAAAUAAAUGUCUAAAAGCAAAUUUUGCAUUUCAAUGUGUUAUUACUACUUGAUAUUUCUUAGUCCAUCAAUGAUAUUUUUAAAUGUAAAACACUUCUAUUUAUGACAUUUUAUAUGUCCUUUAAACUUAUCUAAAUAUUUCACUUCAGUUUGCCUUUUUAGAGCUUUUCUGGAUUUUUAUGAUCUGAAUGGCAUAUUUUCAAAAUAUUGUAUUUGAUAAAAAAGUGAAGAGUAAACACUGAUGCACCUGAUUGUGUGUACUUGUAAAUACAGCUUCCUAGGCAAUAGAUUAGAUUUAGAUGUUGUGUCUCAAAUAUUUGCUGCAAGGUUUCAUUUUACCCACAAAAUGCAUUCAGAUUUUGAAACGCAUGCUUUAGUGGAAUAUAAAUAAUAUAAAGCAAUAAGGUAUAUAUAGCAAUAAGAUAUAUUGGAAACCAUAUACUGUUUCUAGAUAUGUCACCUGUUUUGGACAGUGGCAUAUGAGAUUAUGUUAUGAGGACAAAAGAUUGACCUGGGAGUUUAUCUUUCUCUUUCAAGAACUCUGAACAUGGGCGAGACACCUGCCCUCUAUGUGUUAAUUUCCUCUUCCAUAUGGUAUGCAUGUUAAGUUUACUCAUCAUGAUUAUUCUCCUUAGCAAAUUGGAAUCUGCGUCAUUUUUAUUUGAACAGCAAUUCCAGAUCACUCACAGACACCAAGAGUAUAGUAAACGCAUGCUGUGUGCAGCACCACUUUGAAUAUGAGUUUGAUUUGGGGCUUAUCACAUUUCCUUAUUUGGGUGUAUAUUGUUAUUAAUCGUUACAAUAAUUCAUAUGUUUAUAUCUCCAAGUUUAUUAAUUUGUAGGAAAUUAAAAUCUUGUAAUGUUUGUGUCUGUAACACAAAUAUUAACAUAUAUAUGUGUAAUUCUUCCAUAAGUGCCUGUCUUACUACAUAUAAUCUGGGGGAAUUUUUCAAAGUUUAGCAUAGAGCUAUUAAUUCAUCUUUACUAUAAUCAUCGACUAUUUAAUACCACCAAAAUUCCCCUGGUACCACCAAAGUCUAUUGCAUAAACUACUAGCUACAAAUCCUAACAAAAAUGAACCAAUUGCAAAAAAAAAAAACUUAGAAAAUUAAGAUUAUAUAUCAAAAUAUAAUUACGUAAUAAGAAGCUAGUUAAUUGCACAACACUGACUGUGAUUUUACUAGUAGAGCAGGAACACUUGAAAAAUACAAAGAUGAGUUAAAAGCAAUUGCAUAUUAUUCUAACAAAAAAAUUCAUGCUGGCAAGCUGUCCUUUUGGUCUCCCUCAGCCUUCAGUCAAUUUCAUUUAUCUUCCAAGUUACCUUAACCUUGUGGGAUAGAACAGUAUCCAACAUUUCACCUCCUUGACCAUGUUCAAGAAAGCUUGUUUGUCUUGGGCAUAAUAUUUUAGCCAAUCCUGGAUGCCAGUCUAUCACUCUAACUGAUAUAUUUCUAACCAGAAUAAUAUGAGUAUAAAAAUAUAAGUAAUGUGAAGUCUACAGUACUGAAGCCCUGAAUGGAUUUAUACUGCUUUACAGCAUAUGUGAUUUAAAGCUAAUGGUGUAUCUCAACAUUUUAUAAGCAUUUAACUUUUGCAGAAAUCACAUUCUAGGUCACAAAGCAUAUUAUGAUUUUAAAAUAUUAUAUAGCUUCCCAUUUUUGGAAGGGCAUUUGUUUAAUGGUUGGGAGAGCCCGGCAAGUUGUCAUUCAUUGAAAAUGAUUCUUACCUUUAGCUGAUGGAUAAAUAAGAUGUCAAUGCUGCAAAUAAAAUGAACUUUUUUUAGUUCUAAAAAAAUGCAUUGCUCAUGUUCCAAGCACUAAGAAAGUAACCAUCAGAGUUCUUAUAUUCUGCCACAAGAAUUAUAAUAUGUUAGUAAUUAGCAUGCGGAAAUAUCUUAAUAAAAAUUCUUCAGGAUAAGUCUGCCAUUUGGGAACUGACAGUAAAAUAAAGGCAAAAAUGUAAUGAAUUUAUCUCAUUUGUUUUGUGAAUCUUGUAGGAGUGUUCUGUCUCCUUAAAGAUCAUUACCUGUUCUUCAGCUGGUACAGCUAUAUUUUCUAAAGGUCAGAAUCAGUGUAAUAUUAGUUCAUUUUCCCCUUCAAUUAAACAAAUUAUUUGUGAUAUAUGAGGAAAUUUGUUAUCAGAUUUAACUUGUCAGAAAUGCUACCAUAACAAUAUUAGACUAACUACUGUAAGGAAAAAAAGAAUAAACACAAAACUUCAAAUCUCAGAGACUUACCUGCUCACAUCACCUUCUAAAGGUCUCUUUCCUGCAGCGAUACAGGUUCCUUGGUCUCUUUCCUGCAGUGAUACAGGUUCCUUUUCUCUAAUGCCUCUGCUGUCCCCUACUACGGGUCCAAUCCAGCCCACAGCUUGUUUCGUAUGGCCCCAGAACUAAGAAUGCUUUUCGCUUUUUUAAAGCGUAAAAAAAAAAAAAAAAAAAAAAGGAAAAAUAUGUGUUUGAAGAAUUACGUGUCUUGCAAAUGUAUAAUAUUUACUAUCUCUUUACAAAAAAAAAAAAAAGAUGUGUUGAUAUUUUCCCUUGUGCUGUGGACUGUUCAACUGGAUCAUUUACAUUAGGCCAACUGAUUUGAGAAGAGAGAAAAUGCUUGGGAAAUUCACUGGAAAUUUCCAUAGCCCUGCAGAUUGUGUCUGUACUUUUUCCAAUAUUCUGUUGGUCAGAAUCAGUCACUUUGACAUACCUAACCAAAAAGGAAGCUGGGAAACAUAGUUGUGUUGGAUGCUUAAGAGCAAAAGGAAAAUGGCUUAAAAAAUAACUAUUAGCUGCCAUGUUUAAAAUGGGACGUAAAAAAAGUGAACACUUGCAACAGAUGAUGUAGCACUAUAUUUUGUAAGAGUAUUUUCUGAAUGAAUCUUUCACUAUGGUGGAGACUUCUAGCAUAUGUUUCCUCUUUUUCCAAUUAUCCAGGUGAAUAACAAUUUCCUAUCCACUUAUAGUUAGGGGCGUAUAACAUAAAACAAUACUUUGGUAUAAAAUUUGGAAAGCUGUCUUUGAAAAUAUUCCACAAUGUUAUGAAACAGUGUUUACAGACAAUAAAGUAGAGGAUUGUUUCUUUCCUGGUAGACAAUCUAAUUAGGUCAACAUGUUGACUGUUGGUCCCCAUGAACUUCCCUCAAAUCUUGUGAUUCUGCCUGUGAGAUCCUCACAAUUCCUUUAACAGGCUCUGUCUCUGUUACCAUCCCAACUCAUCUCCAAAACUUUCAUGAACUAUGAAGAGUCUUAGAUUUUACCCAUCUUGCAAACUAACAAGUAAGCCUGUCAUGAUUUCAUGGAUCCUCAGAGAAGACACGUGACUCUCAGGUGAGAGACAUAGAUCUUUGUUACUCCCAGCACAGCAAACAUCAUCAACAUACACAUGCCUGAGUGUUUCAAUCCCCCUUGAACCCAAGUCUUAUAGAAGCAACACAGAUGAGCCCAGAUGAAUGACUGCACAGAGUGGGUGCCACUUCAGGAGAACUAUGAGUGUAGGGAACCCAACUUUUUUAUGAAUGGUAGUAAGCAUGCCUGCUCUUAGCUCUGGGAGGAAAUCGGCUAUAAGCAAAUCUACCUUUUGCUCUGGAUGGAUACACUAUCUCUAUCUUCCAAGGCUGUUCAACCUGUAUAUAUCCUUACAAAUAUAUCCUAUAACAAAGGGCAAUUAUAUGCUAGCCAUGCUAGCAAGACAGAGAAAAAAAUCACUAGAGUAUGGUAGGGAAUUUUUUACAGAAUUAUUGUCAUUGGACUACUGUAUUUUCAAAAUAUAUCUGGUACAUGUACAGAUUUAUAUUAGAGGCCCACUUAAUAGUAGGUAUAGAUAGAUUAAUUAAAAUCUAUACCCACUGUUUAUAGGGAAAAAAACUGAAUGAAAUCAUCAUUUCUAUUAGUGACACAGUUGUUUGAAUGGCCAAUUUUAUGUAACUACAGAAUGAUGCAAUUUCAUUAAAAUUGAUUAUUAUAUAGUUAUAACAUGUAAGUAGCUUGUUUGCAUUAUAAAUGUUGAUAGUUGUGAUUCAAAUUUUAUUGAAUGGUAAUCAAAUGUUCCAAAGACAAGAACACAUAGGUCUUUCUCGGUAAAUAUAAUUUCUAUUCAAUUACCAGAAACUCUUCUCUAGUUCAGAAAUCUAACUUGUGAAUUGUUCAAGGUGGAAUUCAGCUAAUAUUACAAACCUCUACGUAUGGUGUGGUAUAUUUAUUGAAUAAAACUCUCACAGACCAAAUAAUCUCUAUUAGUACUCUCUAUCCAAGAAGAACCAAAGUGAAAACAACCUAUAUACUGUGUUGUAAGCAUAAUUCUUCCAUUUUUGUUUGCCCUAAGUGAUAAAAAUUCCUGAUGUCUUCAUCUGUAGCAUGAUUUUCCUAGCUGAGUUUAGUGUGGAAUUCAAUAUAUGUCUAAUAAAUGAAUGACUGGUAACACACAGGUGUCUAUCUGCAUAAGGUGAUUUAUCUGAGGAAUGAAGUCCUUCUAGAAUGAAGUUUUGCACAUGAGAACUUAUCGAAUAUAACCUAUAAAUCAGAGGGAAAGAGAGAAAUGCUCUCAGGUUAGUGCAAACGUAACUGCGGUUUUUGCCAUUGAAACUAAUGGUAAAAACCGCAAUUACGUUUGCACCAACCUAAUAUAAAUAUUGGCAUGUUUAUUGUUAGAGAGGUGUUUAAGUGACAAAGCAAGACAUAAAUCAGGAAAUGGUAUCAUGCAGUAUUGGUGUGGUGAGAUUUUGGCCUUAGAAGUCGAAUGCAACCAUGAGGAAACUGCUGUGCCCAGCAGUAUAGUAGAAAAUCUGCAGAAAUGAAUUUAUUUUUUGAGCACAAAUGAGACAGCCCUUGUAGCCUCCAAAGAUAUUUGGUGAGGAUUUAAUUUGGUGCCACUUAUUCUAGUAAAUCAGAAUGCAAAAUCUGAUUCAUUACUUCUAUUUUGAUCUUGAUGUGUCCAAAGAUUUUAUAAACCUGAGUAAAUUUGGUUUGUACUAAAAGCAUUUUGAUAUACCUUGAAUCUAUCUUUAAAGUGGGGCUGUUUUUCCCCAUUCCUUUCCAGCUCUUCUUUUCUCUUUGUAUAAAAGUAUGUCAAUGAAUUCUAUUAAGUUUAAGCUAUUAUGACAGUAAAUUCUUAAACUUUAAAAAAAUAAUUUCUACUUAAUCUUUUAUAAUAAUCAUGUUGGAAGAUAAUUUAUUUGUUUGAGUUAAAACAAUUGAAUGUAAGAAAAGAGUCUGUUAAAAAUUGAUAGACUGAUAGCCUGGAUUACGUUUUGCUAUUCAAGGGUAUUUACACUUCAGGUUUUUACAAUGCAACCUAAUUUUGCAAAUAUUUAUUAACACAACUAUACAAAAGUGUGAUAUGCAUAUCUUCAGAUAACUGAUGACAUGAUUCUGUCUGCUUAAAGUAUGAGAAAAAAUUUCAUGAAGACUUUAAAGGUAUUGGUGAAAUUCUACUUUUUUCAAAUCUACUAGUUAUUUUGGUCAUCAGAACUCUUUGAUCAAGGGAAUGUUCUUUAAGCUAUAUUUUCAAAGAUUAAAAGUCAAGGAACUCCAAAACUCAGAAGUCGGGAUAGGAGUUAUUUGUAGUAGUCUAUGUGAAACGUGGACCUAUUUCAGAAAAGGCUCUAUUACUUGGUCACUAAUGAAAUAGCAGAAAUGAUGGAUAAAAAGAAGAGGAACAAAUGUCUUACAGGUUUAAGCCUAAAGACAGAAAUUAAUCUAGUGGAUUUGGUUUAGGAAAUUAUAUGUUCUGUUUUGAAUAGGUCGAUCUGGGUUAAAAUGCCCAUUAUACAGUUAAAUAUGUGCUGAGAGAAAAACCAGAGUAAAGUCAAGAAUUUGGGAAAUAUCUAGAUGUGAUAAUAACAGUGACUGUGGACAAAAUGUAUAUUUUAGUUUCCAUCCAGGGUGUUUAAUACACCUUAUUAUACUUAAUCCUCAUUAACCCUAAAGCAGUAAGUAUUUAUCUGUAUAAGAAAUUGCUCUUUUAUGAAGUUAAAUAACUUGAGAAGUACUAUUCAGUUAUUUCUAGACCUGGAUUUCAGUUCAGAUCUGUAUAACUGUGAAGAUGGCAUGCUCUUAACUCCUGAGCGCCACUGCCUUUUGUGAUGAUGGUUUAAAUUUUGAAUAUGACAGAAGUCAGAGAGAUAAUAAGCAAGGUUUUGGAGAGAAAAAAGAAAAGAACUUAGGAUACAAGGAGGUGUGUCGGGGAGGAGGUGUCCAUAUGAAUAUAAGGCCAAGACAGAAACUGCAGCAGGAACAAAACUCCUGGGUGAAUCUCUGGAGACCCAAGUCAUGGGAAAGGCCUCUGUGAGGUCCAGGGAAAGCAGGUCUUUUAUUUGCACACUUUUUUUUCUGUCGCUCUUUGUAACUAGACUUUUCAAAAUAGGUGAGUAUGAAUGUGAGAUGUGUGAGAAUGUGUAUAAACAUGUGCAGGUGUGUUUCAAGAGUAGGCAGGAUAUCUUUUUUCUUUUCUUUCUUUUUUUUUUUUUUUUUUAAGCACAGGGGAAAUAUUUUCAACAAGAAAACUAUUAUUCCUGGUUGAAUUAUAACAAAACUAUUUUUGGCACUGAAAUUUUCCUUGGGUUCCCUAGCUGUGAUCUGAUGAAAUGUUUUCCCUGAUUUUUUUAACCAUAAAAUAUAUCUAAAGAGUAAAAUAAAUUUGAGCCUUCCUAGUUUUGUAGGAGAAAUGAAUUUUCAGGUACUGAAAAAUUGUCCUGAUAUUAAAACCCCAAAAUAAUUUCUUGAGCCUAAGAGACCAUCACAGAACAUAAAGAUGAGGUUUUCAGUCCUCCUGUUUAAUAUAAAUUAUUGAAUUGCUGAAAGUUUUAUUUAUGAAAUUUCCUUUCAUAUAUUUAAUUUUCUGUAACUCUUUGUGAUUCAGUUUUAUUUGUUAUUACCUAAAGCGUACCAAACUCCAAGUUUGUAUUGUCAGGUAUUUUAUUAUUUUAAAUGUAAAAGUGCUCCUUUAGACAGUCAUUUUUUAUUCCCAACUGAUCUCGGUUUCUCUUUAAUCUACUCACCCUGCUCCAGAAGGCAGGCUCUAUGGGGGUUCUAAAAUGGAUCAGGCUUUGUCCUUACAGGCCAGUUAGCUCCGGCUUUGAUCACACAAAAGGGAAAGCACUAAAGAUCAGCCUUGUCCUUCUGGAAGCUUCCCUCUUGGGACCACUAAAGAAGGCUGUCUUUGUUUCUUUAUUUUUCUUUAAGAAUUUAAUAAUCUCUGAGGAAAGGAAUGUUAGCUCUCCAAGUUACUAGUACUAACAGUUUUUUAUAGUCCAUUAAGAGAAUUUUUUUUUUUUUUUUGAGACAGAGUCUCGCUCUGUUGCCCAGGCUGGAGUGCAGUGGCGUGAUCUUGGCUUACUGCAAGCUCCGCCUGGCAACAACAACAACAAAUGUAGGCUACACCUCUUCCUUAGAAAGCAUUGACGGUAAGUCUAACAUAUUCCCUGUAUUCACUUUUGAAAACUGAGGUCAAGACUAUUUUCAGGGUGGGAGUUUUUGACUUUUAAAUUACUUUCUGGUUUUGGUUCCAUUAAAUAUUACUCUUUUGGCCUUCAAAAUCAUGUCUGAUGGCAUGUAGUCUACAGUUGCAUAAUAUAGCAGUUAGAAAUGUGGGCAAUGUCUAUUAAAAAUACAUAUUUUAUUGUCCAGAGCCACUAGAUGACUUAGCAACCAUUUCAUGUUUCACAGACACACAUUCAUUCAUUCAUGUUUUCUCCAUUGAGAUUUGUCGAUAACGUUUUCCAGUCAAUCAUAUUAUGAGAAUUUAGCCUACAUUUUACAUCCUUCUAAGGGAUCUAAAAAAUAUGAGCUUUCUCCCAUCUCUUCAGCAAAACUUUGCCUGAUAUACUCACUGAGUGACAACAUGAAAGCAAAAUAAAUUACUCUGUAUGCUCCCUGUGUGGCCUCCUGUUAUAACAGGGCCACUUUGCAUCAAUUGAGAAUAAAAGCAUAAUGAUAUACUCCCUAAUGUGAAGAUGAUGCAGUCUGAUAGAUAUAAGCACAGCUUGAAGAAGGUUAUGCCUACAUUGGAGCCAAAGGUUCAUAGCUUUUGUGGCUGAACACCUAAGGAGAAAUACCAUUCAGACAAAAUAAAAAAAAAAUGGAUUAUGUCUCUUUACGUUUAGCAGUCCUUGCUGGGAAUUAGAUUUGUUUUGAGUAAAAUUACUGGAAGACACACUAGCAGAGUAUCAAUUUAUAUUCUGAUAAACACUUUUUACUGUAUCCACCUUCAUAUCACCUACUCUGUCCUAAACCCCAAGGCAUAGAUUCUCCUGCUUUGACCUGAGGAUUUAUUAGUUAAUGCCUUAGGUACAAAAGAACAAACAGCCAAAAAACUGUAAUGAGAACAUUUUUACUUUAAGGAACAGAAUUAUUGAUUUUAUUUAUAUUGAGUUUAAACAGUUUAGAAAAUUUCUGUCAAAAUUGUGUGUGAUGAUGUUAGUGUGUGUGCAUUUUUAGGUGUGAAUUCUCACUUUCUAAUAACAGAAGGUAUAUAUUUAAGUGUUGCAAAUUCAAAAUAGCUUUAUAAAUAUGAUGUAAUAAUUCAGAGGAGAUGAAUUAUUUGCUUGAAAUUUGCCUGUUCUGGUCAAAGCUGCUGCUCUAAUCUGAGGCACUAAGUGUGAUUUUGUUCUGUUUAACUUAUUUAUAAUCUUAUACUUUUUAGAGUUGUGCUUUUGAAACAAAGAUGAUUCAGCAACCCAGAAAGACAAAAGGGGUGGUCAUAUUUCACUCUCCCCUGAUUCUGUGUAAUUACAACCAAGCACAAAAAGGCAACAGAGAAAUGGGUCUUUGAUUGUGAGAAAUACCUGGAAAAUAACAUUAGUAAAUUACUUUGCAGUGUCUGUUGUGAAUUUGUAUUUUUCCACAAGUGGCCCCAAACAUCAUACUAUAUAUUAAGCAAUCUAAUGUUUAAAAUAGUAUUUAUUAUAUUGUUAAUGUGAUACAAUUGAAUGAGGAUGUUGGAUUGGACUUUCAACUAUUCAAGAAUGACGGAUGAAGUCUAAAGCUAAAAAUCCGUCAGUUACCCAUAUGCUGAAAACUGCUACCUUUGAGGCUUCAAACACUUGCAUCGUCUGCCCAAGCACUAUCCGCCAUCAUUCCACAGUCUCACACAGUCAGUAUCAGUCUUCAGCAUCGUCCGCCCAAGCACUGUCCGCCAUCAUUCCACUGUCUCACACACAGUCAGUAUCAGUCUUCAGCAUCAUCCGCCCAAGCACUGUCCGCCAUCAUUCCACAGUCUCCCACAGUCAGUAUCAGUCUUCAUAAGAAGUCUGGGGAAGAACAAAGAUUGGGUUGCAUCUUCUGGGGAGGCAAGUAAUUGUUGGGAGAGGCAAUCUUCCUGACUGGAGAUGCUCUGGUAAAGUGGAGGUGGGGCAAAUACUGUUUUUGGAAAAUUGCUCUUCAUUUGCCUUAAAUAGGGAAACACUGACCUAUGAAUUACCAUUCCAAAGAUAUAGGUUAAAGUGCAGAAAUUGGCAUGACCUCAGCGUCGCCACACAGAAACAAGUGAAGACCUCUACUAAUGGAAACAUUUAAGAAGAAUUAGGCUACUUCUCCUGAAGGCAGCCCUUGGCAUCAGCAAAAGCAAGGGUAAAAGUUAAAAUUACCCCCAAGAACAUCAUGGCACAACCUGUGGGUAGCCCAUUAGUGCCAUGAAAAAUUAUACUAAAUUAGAGACUAAGGUCACAUCCCACAUCGAGGUACAACCAAUUAUGUGCUAUAUCUGCUUCUCCAUCUCCCCUUCCUCCUUUCAGCACUGGAGGAAUUUAUCCACAGAGAAGGUUUGGCAAAGCUCAACUGUUCUUUUCAGCCAAGGCCGUCUAACCACAAAUCUAAAUUGCCCUGAAGGAUGGACAGUGAAGACUGAAUUAGCUAUAUCAUUGGACAGUGUUAUUAUUGAACAUGUUCAAAAAGUUAUGGAGGCUGGUGAAAUGCCAUCAAGGAGUGGAAAGGGGAAUUUAUUAUACCAUAUUUAAAGCAGCUUAAGUCACGGUUGUGUAUUUAUACCCCAAGGAAUUGAUUUUCUUCAAUAAACCAGUUAUACAUGGCAACUUUAAUCAAAUUUCUAGUUCCUAGGGGCCUUCUGGUAAUCUUACUGUUUAAGAUCUCUGUUCCAUUUGUAAGGGGCAGAGCAAGGAUUUAAACUCUGCAUAAGUGUCUAUUCCUUUUGAUCAAUUGAGCCUAAAGAAAGCCUAUGUAACAUAUUUUUAAAAGAUUUUUUUAAAAGUACUUCCUGAUUUGUUUAUAAUUGUGAAAAUAAAUAUCAAAACAAAAAAGCACUAAAAUGAUAGCAUAUAUAAUUGAUGGCAAAUUAUAGUUUGUUUUAUAUACUCCUAUCUCCCAAUUUUGUAAUAAAUAAUACUAAUAGCAGGCAUUAAUUAAACAUCUAUGAAAUCUGAGAGACUAUUUGAAGUACUUUACAUAUACUCAUUUAGCUUAUCACAGCAAUCCUAAGACACAAGAAGAACACCAUUACCCCCAUCUUACUGACUAUGAAACUGAGUCCUGGAGAGACAUUUUCAAGGCCACACAGUUAUUUGUUGACAAAGUCUGAAUUUACACUUAGAAAAUCUGAUUUCAGAAGUGUGAGCUUCAGAUUUAUUUUUGUGUGUGCUUAAGAUAUCAAGUUGCAUUUACCUGGAAAAUGUGCCAAGAACUGGAAAGGGUCUGAGAUUUCACGUUACUUGCAAGCUAACAAGUUAGCCUGCCACAGUGUAACGGAUGCUGGCAGAAGGCAUGAGACUCUUAAGUCAGAAACAAAGGACAGUUAUUACUCACAGCAAUAGUAGUAGCAGGGCCAUCAUCAUUUUUCUUGUGUCAGUGUUUUUGGGCCCCAAUUUCCGCAGGAACACAUGGAAAGAUUCAGAUGACACCUGCAUAUAUGGUGGAUUGCGCUACAGAAGAGGAAUUCCAUGCUUACACUGGACAAUAAGCAUGCCCGCCCAUUGCUCCAGAGGGAGACAGUAUCUUUAGCUUCAAAGGCUAUGAGCAAACCUGCCCUUUGCUCCAGAGGGAGAGACUAUUUCUGUUUUCCAAGGCUGUUCACUAUACAAACUUCUUCAAAAGAUAGUUUGAAACAAAUACCAUCAGUACCUUUGCUCACAAACAAGCAGAAAUGAGAGAGUAUUAAGGACUGUCUCCCAAUAAAGCUUUGUACACCCCAUUAUCAAUGGCAAAGUCAUGAAAAUGUUAGAAUUAGUGACACACUUGGGAAUGAAUUUAGGAUUUAAACUUUUCUUCUUGGGAUUUUUCAUUUUUUGUUUUUUCUACUCACAGUACACUUAUGCAAUAGGAGAUAAUUGCUUUGCUUUGUGUCAUAAACAUGUUAGAACAUUUACAUCUGUUUUCCAUAACUGAUAUGUCUCCACUUGCUUUUCUUCAUCUUUUCAACCCAGAGAGAAUAUCACAUUCUCCUUAGUGCAGAUCCAGGCUUAGCACUUUGAAAUAUAUCUUCAGUUGUAAUUGCCAUUUUCUCUGGUUGAGAAAGUUUAUUUCCAUUAUAACCUACAUGAUAUUUUAUAACAAGACUUAUACCAAAUGUGCUGAGUUUUAACUAGCUUUAUGAAUUUGAAGUGACUUUCUCUUGCUAUUCAAUAAUGUUCAAUAUAAAUACCAAUGUUAAAAAUAUGAUAUUUAAUAUAAUCAUUAAUGACUUGGAGACUGAGAGAUACCACAGAAGUCUGAAAGCAUUAAUUACUUUAAUGGGAGCUUAUUUUUAAUCUUAUAUAUAAAAUUUUCUUAAAGUAUUGAAAAAUUUUUAAAAGACUUACUGUCUACAGCCAAAGAGAAAUCAGUAAAGACUUACAUGAAACAAGUAGAAACACUAAAUAGAAUUUGCCAUCUCCUUUUUCUGUUUAGUUUUUAUAGACAUUUUUUCAUGAAGACAAACACUGAUUAUCUGUUAUCAGAAGAAGUUAACAUUCCUAGUCUGCUCAUAAAAGGAUCCUGGAAAAAGACAAUCGGGACACAUAAGCAUCUGUCUUGGAAAAAUGAGUGAAAUUGCCUGGCCAGUGUCUGCAGAAUUAAAGAAAUGGCUGAGCACCCACACUGGGAAAAAACUACUUCCUCAAGUUGACAAAGUGGCUAUGACUAGUUGGAGUGAGGCAAGUCAGGCACAUCCCCUCGUUCCUACUGGUUUUCCUCCACAACCCUGCUUCCUCUUCUUGCUUGCUCUCAAUUUGUUUCAUUCUUUUGUUUCAUUGUGGAGUAAAGUCCCAGCUUCAGAUUAGAUCAAAAUUUUGUUCAAAUGAUUUGAAAACAUUUUUAUAGCUAGAAUAAUUAUGUGGAGCUACUUAUAAAAUACUCCAGCCUGAUGUUUAAUUCCCUAGGCAGAUUUGAAUGAAAAUGAGUUGAACUGGUUUCUUUAGUAUAGUAUUUGUGACUAUUACCUCACUAAAAUGACUAAGGACAAAAAAAUGGUCCCGAAAACUUGGGUGUUACUCUUGUGUUCAUGAAUGAUUGAUGAAGCGGCCUUUAUGUGCAGUCUCCUGUGGAUUGCAGAACCAGCAACUUUGGUCCUUUAUGAGACAGAGUUUUAUUAGAGUUCCCCAUAAAUAUCAAGUUAUAAAUAAACUGUGUCUGGAAAGUGCUUCAACUGAAUUCCAGGCUGCUCACUAAUUGGCCUACCACAGAUGGCUAUAACAAAAUAACUAACAAUUAGAUUACCCCAUUGUUACAAAUUCACUCUGAAAAUAGCAAGGCACACGUGGCUUUUGACAAGAGGUUGCAGGAAGAAGGUGUAGAACAACUUGUUAAAUAUUAAUCAAGAUUUUAAUUCAAGAACAGCCUGGCGUUUCCUCUCCCAAAAUACAAUUCUAACUUAGCAGUCACCGUCAGCAUAGUGAUGAUUCGUCGGACUUUGCAUUGUACACAUGGAUUAAUGCAAAUGCACAUAAAUGCAAACAAGGUUAAAAUGGAAAAUGCAAUGGAAAGAUGAAAUACUGCUUUGGAUCCCUGUUUCACGCAGAUGACAGAGGCAGGUCUGUCCUGAUAUGAUCUUUUUAGCCAUUUCAAUAACUAAAUUCUCAUGAAGAGAAUGAGCGAGAGAGUUUUAUGUCAUGCUUUAUGGUACAAUAUGGUUUUGUGUAGGCAUAAGAACAGUAUUUUAAGUGCUAAUCAUAAGUUGGCAAAUAUAACUUUAAUAACGAAGGAGAAACUUGAGAGAAUUCAAGAAAUAAUACUUAAAAAUUAAUAUCCCAUUUCUCUAGUCUGUGGGGUAGAGGUAGUUGUGCUUCAUCUAUAUAAAAGUCUUAUUGAGUUCAUGUGCAGAAUUUAAUGAACUACAUUGCACAUUCAGCCACAUCUGCUUUGUUGCCUAACAUUUCUCAUACUCAUUGGGCCUGUUUGGUUCACCUAAGUUAAAAUUUAGGCAGACAUCAAUAGGUGUUAGCAGAAAAUGAAGAAGUCUAUACCUUCCUUUUUGUUCAGAAAUGUUUUUCUCAAACAUGGAAAUACAAGGCAAAGACCAUAGUCUUUGAGACACUACAACCUUCGCAACCUGUUCUUUGAGAACAUCACAUUGUGUUUAUUGGAUGGGUUCAGGAGGAGUUCUUUUAAGAAAAUAUAUUUUCUUAGAACUUAGAGAACUCUCUAAACGCACUUCUAAUUAACACCUAAAUUCUUUCUUUUAGGCGAGACAGAGACUUUCUUUGCAUAACAACGUCUGGGGCAUUUGCAAAUCUCAGCUUGCUUCACGUUUUUAGGGGCUGCAAUUCUUGUGACCAGAAAUGCAUGUGAAAGCAAAUUUAUUACAGUCGGAGACGAAGAACAGUUAACUAAAAAUGAUCUCUGAUUGAGAAUAGCAACAUUAGAUGUCUGACAUCUGUUUCCCUAGUUGUUUUAAAACUCAACAUAGACGAAGCAUUUUAAAUCGUAAUGCAAAGCAUACUCCCAAUUCAAGGCAUUCAAAAAUUCAGUAGCUUCAUUUUACAAGAUAACUAAUUUUCAAAUACACAACUAUUAAAAUACUUGACAAAAACUGAGCAGUUCAUAUAUGUUAAAAUAUGCUUUUAAAUGUUUUGAAUUCCAGCUGUUUCUUUUUCUGUUCUUAGUAAGAAGAAAGUGCCACAACUCUGGAUUUCAAUACAUACAUUCGUAUAACCUUUUCCUAAAUUAAGGAGAACAUUUGGGGAACACUUUCACAAGGUUUGAAAGAAUAACUUCUACUUUAGAUAGAGUAAGUCCUUAACAAAAUAAAUCUCUUUUGAUGGUGUGCUUUUGAUUGAUUAGGACUUCAUUAUGUUUUUAUAAAUUAUUAUUAAAAUGCUAAUAGUGAAGAUAGUCAUUACUAUUUAUGAUUACUUAGAGCCCUCACUUGCUUAUUAUGCCUGUACAAUAAUUUAUUACUGCUUUGUUUGUGGGAAGUUAUAUAUAAAACCAGUAAUAUAUUAAACCCUAAUUUCCAUUCUAAUAUCAAGUGAAAAAAAUCAUCUGAAGGUGAUGAAUUUUCGGUGUCACAAAUCACUGUCACACAUUCUAGGCAAGUGAUAUUUUUAGAGAGGUUUUGGGAAACGUAAUGAAAAAAUUAUGAAGGAAAAGUCACUUCUUUCAUAUAGGAAAAACUGCUGGGUAUAAGUAGAGGAAAAGAGAAGCCUCAGCACAGAUGUCUGUUUACAUGUAUCAUACCUGCCAUGGACUUUUUAUGAGAUUUUUUGUAAAUUACUAAACUAAGAUGUUUCUCCAUUUAUUCAUUUUAAAAAUAAGUUUUAUAAAUCCAAUUUUCCUAUUUCACAGAACUGUUAGGACCCAGUGAAAUAUUUUGUUAAGCAUUUGAAAGUUCCAUGCAUAUAUCUGGAUAUGUGUGUAUGUGUAUGUUUAUGUGUAUGUGUAUGUGUAUGUGUGUGUGUGUGUGUAUGUAUGCAUGGGGGUGUUUGUGUUUGCAAGUGAUGCUAUUAUAUUCACUCCUUAGGUAAGAAGCGACUUAGUUUCUGUCUUAUUUUAAGCAAACCGCCACACAUUUUAAUCAGUAUUAAAAUGAUAAUUGAUUACAAUUUUUUGGUUUUGACCAUGUGGCAGAUAAUGUAUCUUCUGUUUGUUAUCAAUAGGUAAUAGUGAGAAUUAAAUUAGUUAACAUUAGGAAAUUGUAUGUAGGUUAACAGUGCCUGACAAUAGCUAAGAGUUUAGCAAUAAUUCUAUUAUUAUUAUUUCAUCUACAUAUCAUUUAUUUAGAAAACUAAUGCUGUGAAAAAGGUAACAAUAAUCUUCAGUUUUGGCUGAGGAAGCUGAGACUUGGAAGGUGUGAAGGAAGUAUUCUGAAAUCAAAUUGUGAAUAUCAGGAUGAGAAUUGGAUGGCAACUGGUUGAGCUAUGAGCUCAUGGUUCUUAACUGUUACAUUCUGCAAAUAUUCUAACCUAUAUAUUCACUUAUUCCUUAAAAUUCACGGAUAAUAAGUAUAUCUAACACUGAAAUUGGAAUCAUGUUACUUCACUGACAACACCUGCAUAGCAAUCUGAGAUGACUGGAUAAAUAAAAAAUUCUUAAAAUAGAUGACAGAUACAUCCAUAUAAAGAAAGUAUCUAGCAUUGGCACUUUCCCCAGUCAUUAGGUAAUAUUUAGAUGAAUUUGGGAGCUACGAUUUUUUUGGUGAUUUUAAGGAUAUCCCGUGCAGAAAACAUUAUUCAGAGGUUUACUUUGGCUUUUGGAAUUAUUGAAUUGAAUCUAUUAAAGCUACAACAAAGCACACUUGGAGUACAACUAUACUUUAGAUUGAUUCACCCCUUACAGCAGCAGCCUGAUGGAAGUGAUGGGGAGAUACAAUGUGUUGGGUGGUUUAUAGCAUAUGGAGAAGUAGAAUAGAAGGCCUCAAGAAAACAGAGAAAUGAAACAGAAUACUUGAAAUAAACUAUUGUUUAUAAUGUAUAAUAAUGAUAUUUAAAGAAAUAUUUACUUUUCAAUUUAUAAAUAUACAUGUUUCAUCUGAAUAUUUAAUUUGGUUAUAUAUUGCUUUUGAGAACAAUACAUAAACAUGACACAAGAGAUUAUAGCUAAAAUAGAAAUGGAAGAGGUCUAAUGGAAUACUACAAAGCACUUGAGUCAUGCAAAAGAUAACAGGAAAAGAGAAACAAGUGAGCAAAAAACAGAUGGAAUCAAUAGAAUAAAAUAAAGUAAUACAGCUAAAUACAAUUAUAUCAAUAAUUAUGCUAAACAGGGAUAGAAUUAAGAAAAAAAAGCCAGGUUGAAUAAAAAGCAAGAUCCAGGUAUGUAGUAUGUAUAGGUAAUGAAUUCAACUAUAAAUAUAUACAGAGGAGAAAGUAAGGGUAGAGAAAGCUAUAUCAUACAAAAGUAUAAGAAAGCUGUUGCAGGUAUAUGAAUACUUCAAGCAGAAUAUCUAUUACCAGAUUGAGACUUAACAAUUAUAUAAGGGUCAGGUUACCAAAAAAAUAUAACGAUGCUAAGCAUAUUUUUACCUGAUAACAGAACUUCAACUUCACAAAGCCAAAAAUUGACAGAAAAAAAGGAAAAAAUGGACAUAUCUACCGUCAUAAUUGGAGAGUUUCACAUACCGUUUUUGUAUUUUAUAGAACAAAUAGACAAAAAAAGCAAAUGGUCUAGACUUUAUUGACUUUUAUUUAAUACCCCACUAUGCAACUGCAGAAAGUAUAUUUUUUCAAGAUCGUAGAAAACGUUGACCAAGAUAGAUGAUAUUCCUACUCAUAAAAUGUGUUGAUAAAUUUCAAGAAAUUGAAACAUACAGAAUCUAUCUAAAUGUGAGUAUUAAAUUAAAAGUCACAUGGCUUCCUUGUUAUAUUUUUAUUUUUAGUUUAAAAUAGUAUUUACAACCUCAAAUUCCUAAGAAUAAAUUUCAACAUGAUAUCUAAGACUUGUACACUGAGAACUAUUUAAAAAAAGGCAGAGAAAUGAAAGAAUUCUGAAACAAAAAGAGACCUAAAUAAAUAGUCAUGUGUUUGAAGAGACAAUAUUGUUAAAAUACCAUGGAAUACUACACAGCUGUUUAAAAAAAAUGAAAUCAUGUCCUUUGCAGCAACAUGGAUGCAGCUGGAGGCCAUUAUCCUGAGUGAAUUAAUGCAGGAACAGAAAACCAAAUACUGCAUGUUCUCACCUAUAAGCAGGAGUAAAACACUGAGCACACAUGAACACAAAGGCAGGAUAAAUGAACAAACUGCUGUCCUCAUACAAUCAAAUACUACUCAGCAAUACAAAAGAAGUGAGUUACUGGAACAUGCAACAAUAUCGAUGAACCUCAAAAAUGUAAA